rnacentral:rRNA from 1 species
UACGUAGGGUGCAAGCGUUGCCCGGAUUUAUUGGGCGUAAAGGGCGCGCAGGCGGCUACGCACGUCCGUUGUGAAAUCGCUCGGCUCAACUGGGCGGGGUCGGCGGAUACGGCGUAGCUGGAGCAAGCUAGGGGGCAAUGGAAUUCCCGGUGUAGUGGUGGAAUGCGUAGAUAUCGGGAGGAACACCAGUGGCGAAGGCGGUUGCCUGGAGCUUUGCUGACGCUGAGGUGCGAAAGCGUGGGGAGCAAACAGG